GAAUUCCCUUCUUUUUUAUUAUGUUCUGUACUAUAAGUUUUUAUCUUUUCACUGUUUUCUUCCGGAUUUUGCAGACAUGUAAUUUACGAUUAGUGAAAUACUGGUCAGGUGGAAUUGAAGAGUUCGUAUAAUGCGUUGCAAUCAAUUAUGACGGAGAAUACUUAUAAAGUUUACACAAAAAAAAAAACGAGAGUAAUACUCAAGCAAAAC
rnacentral:lncRNA from 1 species